rnacentral:rRNA from 1 species
AUGCAGCGCGAGGAGGGGAAUGUUCCUGACAAGUCCAACUCCGGAUGGGCGUCGGAGGCCAUGGGCACGAUGGAGAUGACGCACUCGAAGCUCUUCCCCUUCUUCAUGACCGGGCUCAUGCCCCAGGAGGCCGUGCAGUACCUCGACCUGGUGUGCAGAUGCACCAAGAACACCCGGCAUCUGGUCUCCAUGCUCAGAUCGCUCGCGGAGCGCCUGGAGGACGCGAACCCGUUGAUAAUCCACAACAACCCCACACGACUAUAUGAGCACCUACUUGUAAAAUCCCCAUAA